UUGAAAGGGAAACGAUUGAAGUCAGUCGUACCUAUGGGUAAUCAGCCUUUUGGGUGUGAUUUUGUGGAGCGUGAGGAGUUAAACGCCUUCAUGCCUGCAUAUUCGUGCACUUUGGGUGUACUUGCCCGUAUGGUUGGUUAACAUCAAUUUUGGUGGUCAUAAAAUGACUGGAGGAAUGUAGCUUCGAUCUCGUAUUGAAGUGUUAUAGCCUCCGGUAGAUGUGAUGAUCGAGAUUGAGGAUUGCAACGGAUACCUUUCGGGGCUACCUGUCUGAUCUCUGAUCGUUGCUUUGGUGCUGAAAGCGUGCUUAUAGUUAUCAAAGUCGAUGGUCAAUAGGUUAGAAUGGGUUAAAUUCGUUAAGGAUGUUGACGUA
rnacentral:rRNA from 1 species